UACGUAGGUAGCAAGCGUUGUCCGGAUUUACUGGGCGUAAAGAGCGCGCAGGCGGUCGUUCAAGUCGAGUGUGAAAGCCCCCGGCUCAACUGGGGAGGGUCACUCGAUACUGAUCGACUCGAAGGCAGAAGAGGGAAGCGGAAUUCCCGGUGUAGUGGUGAAAUGCGUAGAUAUCGGGAGGAACACCAGUGGCGAAGGCGGCUUUCUGGUCUGCUCUUGACGCUGAGGCGCGAAAGCUAGGGUAGCAAACGGG
rnacentral:rRNA from 1 species